GGGGCCGGCGGCGCCGCGGGGCCCGCGGCCGUGAGGGGGAACGGCCGGGAAAGGCGGGAGAAACAAAGAACAUGGCGAGGGGAGGAGGAGCCUGCGCCCCCUCCCCCGCCGGGAAGGGCGCCCCGGGGGCGUACAAUGCCCGGCCCGGCCCGCCCCGGCCGCGUCGGCGCCUGGGGGCGGCUCGCCUCCCUCCGCCCCCUUCCCCGCCCCUGUGGCAGGGCCCGGCGGGGGACCGGGCCCGGCCCCCGCCCCGCGGGACGGGACGGGCUGGUAGGCGGCGGCCGGGAGCGGGGCCGCUGCCUGCCGCAAGUUUCGCCCAGAGCGGCAAAGUUGGGCGCGGCGCCGCGGCCCGGCGGGACCCGGCCAGGACUGGAUUGUUUCUCUCUUCAACUUCAUGGAUGUUUUUUUCCAUGUGCACAUUUAGUCUCUUGUAGCUUCUGCUUCUGGAAGGCUGGGAGGAAAGACCUUUUCACACUGAUUACUGGAAAUCUGAGGAGAAGUUUUCAGUGGCCAAAGAAUGCAAUUCUCCCUGGAGUUGUGGGUAUCUUGCAUGAAGCGAACUGAAGUAGGAUCAGCUGGUAUCCAAGAAGCACAGCUUGAAGAUAGUAAGGAGUACUUUGGAGUGAACUGACAGUAAGCCUUGCAGUACCGUGGUGGCAAUAACAUGGCUGUCCUCUGGAGAUGCUGAAGCUCUGCUGUUUUGAACUUCUUUCUUAUACCUCCCAACUUGUGCACAAAGGACUUAACAUUGAUUGGGAUUCGUAUGGUGUAAAACAGUCAUGAGUAUGGGGGUUCUUUCUCCAUUCACUUGACACCUGCAUGUUUCCAGCAAUCAAUGAUGAAGUCUGUACUGGGUCUGCUGACACUUGGGUCUGUUUUCAAGAGCUCUGAGUGACAGGUACUGUAAACAUCCUACACUCUCAGCUGUGGAAACUAAGAAAGCUGGGAGAAGGCUGUUUACUCUCCCUGCCUUAGAAAUCACCCAGAGGACAAGGACGGAAUAUUGUGAGGUCUGUGUUUAUUGUAUUUCUGACAACCUGUAUUUCAUAUUUUACGUCAUGGUGUCAGUAAACAAAUAAUAGCAUUAUAUCAUGUCAUCAGUGUCUCAUGUUCUGACCGAGGUCAGGAGGGCCUUACAGUAUGCUUUUAGCUGCACUGCUGGCUUGAGGGAAACUUAAAUAGUAGCAAUAAUACAUUACAAUACUUUCAUCUUUAAUCAGUAACUAAAAUGGAGUUGUCACGCUGUUUAUUUAUAGGUGGUGGUAUAUACAAGUUACAGCGUAGACAUCCUCAGGUUGGCACAUCAGUAGUAUAUUUAAUCAAAUCAUCCCUAAAUGUUUGGUUCUUGUUUUCUAAGAUUCACUCAGUUCUCAUUUCCUACCCAAUAGGGCUAGAAACAGAGGUCACAAGGCAGAAAAGGUUCUAGGGGACUUCAAAUUUCAGUUUCUUUUCAAAGAAAUUCAGAGGUGUCAACCCUGAUUAACUCUAUCUCUGAAGUAACUGAAUUAAAGAUACAGAGGUAUUUACCUUUUAUGUUUUCAGCUUAGUGUUCCCUGUCACUUGCCUCCCAGACUGUAUUAUUCUUUGUGCUUUGUCCUGGCAAUCUUCCUCUUCCUCCUUAUAUUUCUUUCAUUCUAUUUGCUGUAACCCAAGUAGAGCGUCUCAUUUCAAAUGUAAAAUAAGCUGAAAAAAAUAUUUUUCCUUUAAAAUCUGAUGUCCUGCUGGCAUGUCUAAAUCCUCAUGAAAUGUACUUUUGCAGCUCUUCUAAAGCAGUGACUUUGGCAGAAAGAAUAUUGUUCCCUCUCUUUUCUUAGUUCUGGGAGGGGAUACCUUUUGUGCUAAGAAACUUUUCCCAAUACAGUUGAAUUCAAAGAUCACCUUCUAGCUUCUUUUGCAAUACCAUUCUUAUGUCUUCCUGCUGGUUCAGCUUUUUAGCAAAGACAUUUAAAUGUAAAAUCUUUGAAACAGGGGCUGUUCUAAGCAUUUAAAUAACAGAGUCUGGAAAGUGAUGGGAGUGGGAAGAACAUGGGAGAAUGGUAAAAGAUUGUGUAAGGAUCAGUAGUAGUACUUCUACGAAAUGGACAAAAAAGAAUUCAAACUGUUAGGCAGAGCUAAAAGUCAGUUAUUUGAAGCAAUGAUUACUUUUCAGUCUCUGGCUUGUCUUCCUUUUGGAAAAAGGAAUUGGAGGGGAAGCCAGAGUCACAGGGGCUGUUAGUGCUGUAGCCAAGGAGUAAGUUGAUGAGUAAAAAGCAGAUUGAGGUCUGGUUGUGCGGUAACAAACACCAGUGCUUCAGGUUUGUGGAGCUGUAACUCACGUUUUGUGGUGUUAAUUUCUAAGAAAAUCAGAGUUAGCCGCCUGAAAUGAUUGUUUUAAGGAGACAUUAUUGUUUGACUAGUCUGAACAGCUAGAGGGUAGCAUUUGCUAAUACACAUGGUUCCCUUGGCAGAGAGCUAUUUGAGGGUGAUGGAACACACAGUUAUAUCCUCCGCUGCAUGACAAUAUUGAUUGUACGCUAUGUUGUCAAGGAAAGACAACCUCUGAAAGGAUACAACACCCUGAAUUGGUGGGCUGUGGGUUUUUUAUAUUAUUCUUACCUAGAUUUGAUUUAGGUUUGGAAUCGUUAUUUUAUGUGAAUUGGAAAACUUCUCUAUUGUGCAUUUAAUAGUGAAAUUCCAUCUUCAGUUUCAUUAUUGUAAGUUAGGACUGUUGGAGUCUUUCUUGUACAUUCUUCUUUGGCCACAGUUUCCUGCCCUUUCACUUGUGCUGACAUGAGCUAAUUCAGUGGCUUGACGCUGCUGAAAACUAAAUAAGCAAAACAGCUUUUAUGUGGAUCAGCUUACUCCACCACUGUGCUGUGGCCUAAAAUGCUACUGAAAAUGCUGAUUCCUUCAGAUAUGGUCACUUUUCUGAAGAGCUAGAACAGAGUUUAUUCUAAAUAGAUUAUGAAAUCCUAAACCAAUAAAAUGGUGAAAUUACAGGAUUUUUUAUAUUUUUGUAUUUCAUUUGAUAUUAAAUUCUUCUGUUAAUGCUGUUUGAGCACAGUUGCAAGCAUGGUGCUAAAAUAAAUUCAGGUAAAAUUGGAUUAAAAUUUCUCAUUUUUUGAAUGCCAUUCAUGCUUCUCUUUGAAAGAUUUUUUUAUGAAGUCUAAUAACUAAAUUGUGUUGGUAAUAGGGAGCAACCAGUAGUUUUGUAAAUUGUAAAGGUAUCCUCUGAUGUAUUUGCACCAUACUGAGCACUGUAUAAAUUGCAUUAUUUCUAGAUCACAGAGGGUUGUUCCUCCCCCCCCAGGUAUCACUUGCCAAGCCAAAGGCAAAUGUUAUGUCCUUUUCUUUUGUUAAUCUCAGGCUUCAAAGAGUUUAAGAUUCUUUCCAGUCUAUCAAUUAAAUAUAGAGCUUUCCCAUUGUGGAAAAAAAAAAAAAAAACCAACCAACAACAGGGCUGUUUCAAAAGCUCUUGCCAGUAAUGAGCUUUGGAUUGGGUCCAUGAAGAGGUAAUCUGAAUAGCUACCACAGCAAGUCAUCUGUGGGAAAUUGCUGACUGUAGGCAUGGGUGCUUUUUUUAUUUAUUUUUGAAGGGCAGUUCUGCCAAGAUGCAAAAGUGUCUUGCUCCAAGUAUGUUUUGGCACCACCUGGGACACUAUCAUUCUUGCAUGUUAGGACCAACAUGUGGCAUUGAUUAUGUUUUAAUUUUUGAAUGAGGAAGAAGAGGAUAGGUCUUAUUAAAAAUAAGGAAACCUGGUAAACUUAAGUGUAGGUAUUAGAAUUUUCUUCCUCUAAAUGCUUAACACAGAUAUGAAGCAGUAUUUUUUUCCUCCCCCCUGCUACAUUUUUGAUUACAUAGUCCCUCUAGGUAAUUGCCUAACAUCCAGUUUUGGUAAUGCAGUGAGCAACUGUGGGAAGAAUGUGUGGGAGUCCUUGGGCAGAGCUGUUGCUUGUUUGGAGGCUGCAACUAGACCUUGAGGUUUACAAGUGAAAUAUUAGAAAAACAUAGUAUUAAAAGUUUCAAAGAGCUGCUAACAAGGGAAGGGAGAGGUGAAGGGGAAAGAGAAGUGACUUGUCCUCCAAAGGGGGGAAAAAAAAUACCGCUGAUUUUAAAUGCAAACACAUAAAUGCAAAUACAGUGGAAGAGAGCAGCAAUUGUCCUUGAUGCUUAUGCAAUAAAGAAGAGUUCUUUUUUUAUGCAGUAAAUCUCACUGUCACUGAUUUUAAUUGAGUGCUGGAGAAUUUAAAGGUCUAUGACAAGCUGUUCUGCUUUGAAGACCUGUACCUAAAUUGAAGAAGCAAAAAAGAGUUUGGUCUGAAUGAAAGAGAAGAAAACAUGUUAUAUGGACUUCAGUCAUAACUGCCCCUGAAAUGAGAGGGAGGAUUCUAGAUUUGAAUUUUCUCUGCUAUGAUUGAGAUAAACACAUAAAAGCAACUGUCCUUCAAACAGGUGUGAAGCAUCUGCAAUGCAAAUGUACAUUCAUAUACAAAUAUUUUUAAAAGCUUAAAAACACAUUAACUUAAAAUCUGAACUAACGCUUCUUUGUUUGAUUCAGGUUUUCUUCAAAAUCAGGUUCUAUUGUUUUAAAAAAACUUUUUUUUUGUAAACUAAUUCUCUUAAAAAGCACAUUUGAUUAAAUAGAAUGCAAAAGCUGAACCUUCUUUUGUUCUUGUGUGAAACUUCUGGUCCUUGUCAGCUCUGGGCUCCAUCCCAGACCUACUUAGCUACAGUUAGGCUUUUGUCUCCUUAUUUUUGACCUUUGGUUUUAAGGAUGUUAAUGUGAAUUAGAUGGAAAUAAGCUUUUGUAGCAACCUGUCAUGGUUUAAUGCUGGCUGGCAACUAAGCACCACACACAGCCACUUGCUUGCUCCCCCGUGGUGCGAUGGGGGAGAAAAUUAGAAAAGUGAGACAAAAUUGUGGAUUGAAAUGAACAGUUUAAUAGGUAAAGUAAAAGCCACGUGUACAAGCAAAGCAAAACAAGGAACUCGUUUACCAUUUUCCAUCGGCAGGCAGGUGUUCAGCCAUCUCCAGGAAAGCAGGGCUCCAUCAGGUGUAAUGGUCACAAAUGGAAAGACAAAGGACAUCACUCCAAAUGUUCCUCCUUCCCCCAGCUUUAUAUGCUGAGCAUGACAUUCUAUGGUAUGGAAUAUCCAUUUGACUAGUUCAGGUCAGCUGUCUUGGCUGUGCUCCCCCCACAGCUGCCUGUGCACCUGCUCACUGGCAGAGCAUGGGAAACUGGAAAAGUCCUUGAUUUAGAGCAAGCACUACUUAGCAACAACUAAAACAUCAGUGUGUUAUCAACAUUGUUUUCAUACUAAAUCCAAAACAUAGCACUGCACCAGCUACCAAGAAGAAAAUCAACUCUAUCCCAGCUGGAAGCAGGACACAACCAUUUUAUACAAUAAGCAAACUUCAACUAAGCAUUGCAGCCUAUAACUACAGAGCACCUCAGAAGAGAAGCUGAGGGCUUGCUUAUUUUAAUUAGUGUAAUGUGAUCACUAAAUUACACCUUAUUUAACUCUCCAAAAAGGAGAGUAGAGUGAGGCUGGCUUGUGUAAGCCUUACAUUUGCAACACUGACUCCACUCCAAAAGAGGAUUCAGUUUUGUUCGUGCUACAGUUAGUAGGGGAUUUUUGUUGUUGCCUUGGUCCUGCUAUUAAGCUGUUAAAAAAAUACCACAGAAAGACGGGCUGUAAUCCUAGCUUUGGACAGACUCUCUGUGCUUCAUUUUCUCCUUCGUGAAAGAUGACACUUCCUUUGUAAACACAGAACCCCGUGUUGUUUAGGUGUGUCUCUCUUUGCAGUGAAGCAUGUUUCUCAAAAUCAUACCAUCACAAGCUAGUUUGUCUCAUUGUGUUCCAGCCUUUCACUAUGAUUUAGAUAGAUUACACUGCUUGCUUGCGCUGCUGGGGAAGCAGAAAGGAUGUGCUUAUUACAAGACCUAGUGCAGGGUUAUCGUAAAGGCUGCUAAGAGCUCCUUCUCGUGCUUUUGUUGUGAUGCCAUCCUCCCACGGGUGCCAAGUGGGCAUACAGCACCUCUGCUAAUGGUGGUUUCAGGUGUGCACUUACAGGGAGCCCACAGUUUGUACAGGCAUACCCAGGCAGCUGGGGUAUUGAGAGCUGCCCAGCUGUGGCAGCACGGAAAUCGGCUCCAAGCCAGUCUCACCCCCUUUCUGAGCUGCUGGGUAUAUUCUUAGGCUAUGGGAGGGUCCAGCUGACUGUUUCAUUACUUGAGUUCAGGAGAAAUACACUGACCGUUGCCAUCAACUAAGGACUUCUGGGCUUUGCAUCAUUUGAAAGCUGCCUUUCUCCAGUUGUUUCUGCAUAGCCUAAAGCACUUGCUGGCUCAGGUGUUCUAAAAAACUGCUGCUAAAAUAACUCAGCCGUGGUGGGCAAGGGAUAAGUUAAUGUUGACAAAUGAAAUGGUUCCAGGAUCUCUAAAAUUAAUGUUCUGUUUCUUGGCUAGAAAUAGAUGGCCCUGUAUAGCUAUGAACUUUGUAAGUAGUUGAACUUUGUGCAACUUGCUUAGCUUAGAAACAGUUUUGGUAAGGAUGUUGAGUUGGCACUAGAUUAUGCUUUAGUUCACAAAGUACAGAUGAAAUAUGUACAGUGGUAGAUUUUUUUUCUUAGCAGUAGCCAUACUCACUGCAUAGAUAUUAAUGGAACUGCUAAUUAAGAUACUGCAGCCUGACUGUGCGAUUUAAUGUGAGGUGUUUAAAAGCCAUGUAGAUGUGGCACUUAGGGAUAUGGUUUAGUGGUAGACUUUGCGGUGUUACAUUUACGGUUGUACUCGAUGAUCUUAGAAGUCUUUUCCAACCUAAACGAUUCAUUAAUUCUAUUAUUCUAAUUGAUGAAAUGCUACAAUAUGCUUUGUGCUGCCUGCAUGGAAGAGCAGAUCAAAUCUAAAUUGAAAUAGAUCAUGUUUUAUUGCCUUGGGGUAAUUGUGCGCAGCAUACAGCCUUUGAAAUUAGAAGUGACAAAACCAGUUGUCUCUGUUGCCACUCAGAUUAGGUGUGUGUCAUAACAUAUAGGUUUGCAAAAACAGGAGUGACCAAACUUGUCUACUUCUCGCUGAAAAGUCCUGACACUCAUGAAAAGUUCCACAGCCACUCAUAUUCAUGGCUAGAAGUCUGUCACGUUGACUUAUGGGGACCCUGGGCCUUCUGAUCACCGUUGCAGUGCCACCCUUCUGACCCCAGGGAAGGGCUCUCCUGUGGAUAUUUAUCACCUACUUUCCCUGUCGGAAGUGAAAAGUAUCAGCUGCCUUUUUUGGUCAGCCUUGCUGAAGUUUGCAUGCUCUAAAAGUUUCAGCAACUACCCAGACUGAGGGGUGCUUGGUGAUACUACACCUUGGGAGACCAGCUCUAUGCUAACUAAGAUCUAUUUUCUGAUACUUCCAGUGGCAAAUUUUAUUCUGACAGUAUGUGUUCACCUGUACUUAAUGUUUUUCUUCUCUGCAGAGAAG